CGCCUAAAAGCUAGCCUAACCAUAGAGAACAACAACCAAACAUGAAUAAUCUCAAAUGACACAAAUAAACAUAACAAACCAUUUUUCCACCCAAGUAUGGGAGACAGAAAAGGACC
rnacentral:rRNA from 1 species